GACGAACCGUGCGAACGUUGUUCGGAAUCACUGGGCGUAAAGGGUGCGUAGGCGGUCGGGUAAGUCUGACGUGAAAUCUUCAAGCUCAACUUGGAAACUGCGUCGGAUACUAUUCGGCUAGAGGAAUGGAGGGGAGACUGGAAUACUUGGUGUAGCAGUGAAAUGCGUAGAUAUCAAGUGGAACACCAGUGGCGAAGGCGAGUCUCUGGACAUUUCCUGACGCUGAGGCACGAAAGCCAGGGGAGCAAACGGG
rnacentral:rRNA from 1 species